AUGAAAAGAACUUUGAAAAGAGGGCUAAAAGACUUGAAACCGUUGAGAAGGAAGCUGUAGAAGAGCAAUAAACUGGACGGCGCAUAAGGGGGAAGUACUAAUCACUGCAGAGUCGAUACGUAAAAGGUCGAUGAGUAAGGAAAUGGUACAGAACUUGCUACGCCGGUCAGAAGACAAAAUGGGUUCAGAUUGAAGGAGUCACCUGAGAUUGGGCAGCAAUGCAGAUCAAAAGGAAAACUUCAAACUGGACUGAGGGGCCUAAGGGCGAUUUUGUCAAAAUGGCUUCUACUGACCCGUCUUGAAACACGGACCAAGGAGUCUAUCAAUUAAGCGAGUGAUAGGGUGGAAAAACCCGUCC
rnacentral:rRNA from 2 species